rnacentral:rRNA from 1 species
CAAGAAAUCAAGUUAUACAAAUAAGGUAAAAAAGGCAGUUAUGUAUUUGUAUCAUGGCUUUCUAAUCUAUAUUGUGGGUGUAUAACCCUAGCAAAUAAAGAUAAUUUUGGGAAAGCACAUAUAUUGAAUCUGCGAAAAUCUUGAGGGAAACUAGGACUAGAUACCCUAUUAUUCUUGAUUUUAAAUCAAUAAAAUUUACCGGAGUACUACGAAUACUAAAAAUUUAAAACUCAAAGGGCUUGGCGGUGUUCUAGACCUUUCAGGGGAACCUGUCUCAUAAUCGACAAUCCACGCUAGACCUAACCUUUUUUUGUAUUCAGUCUGUAUACCGUUGUCGUCAGGUAACUUUUAAAAAUUUAGAAGUUGGCAGCUUAACUUAUAAGUUAAAACGUCAAAUCAAGGUGCAACUAAUAAAAAGGUGAGGAUGGGUUACAAUUAAUAAUUAUAAUAACGGAAAAGUAAAAUAAAAAUUACUUUAGAAGGAGGACUUGAAAGUAAAAUAAAUUAUAUAAACAAUUUGAAUUUGGCUCUGGAACGUGCACACAU